rnacentral:rRNA from 1 species
GGUAACCUUUUAGGAGCCAGCCGCCGAAGGUGGGACAGAUGAUUGGGGUGAAGUCGUAACAAGGUAGCCGUAUCGGAAGGUGCGGCUGGAUCACCUCCUUUCUAAGGAA